rnacentral:lncRNA from 10 species
AGGACUGUGACAAAGAGCAACAAAGAGCCACAAAGAGCAGGCUGCGGGCGGGACCAUCGGGACCAUCACAGAGGCAUCAGCCCUGCCCCGGAGUGGCUGCAGAUGCAUCCCUGAGGGAGGGGGCUGGGGUGCAGGUGCUCCCUCCCGAACAGGGGGUUUGUUAGCUUCAUCUGCAAGGCCCUGAAGCCAGGCUCUUUUCAAAUCGUCAUCAUGUGUGCACCGUACACUCCCUUCUGACUCUGGGGGCCUGGGCGCCUGCUUAGUGCAGCCUUAAAUUUUUUACGUACCAGUAAAAAUACUGCAUGUAAGAUUCUGUUCCUAGGAGGAUAAAGGGAUGGCCAGAGCUGGCUAAGCGGAGUCUCGACGGACUAAAGGUAUGGGAAAAUGAAGACGUGGACCUACCACGUUCUCUUCUACCUGGAACUUAGGAUUUGUAAAUUGCAUUUAGAUGUCAUUUGUCACAUUGGUAGGCUGUGACUUAAUACACUCACAAAGAGGAUUUUUCCAAGUAUUUAAACUGUGUAGAUGCUGCAAAAAAUCAGACUGAGGCAAAGCCCUGCAGCCAACCCCAGCAGCAAGAGGUGAGGACCCCCUGUCUGUCCUGGGCCCCACUCAGGCACUAUCCUCAUCUCUUAGAAUAGUUUGUUACCUUUUCUUUCCUGAAGCCUCAUCAAAUGCAACUUUUUCUAUGGCAUUCAACGGACUUUAAAGCAAAGAUUACAGAGAAAUUCUUAUGCAAGUCAGAAAAUCUGCUUAUUAUGGGUUUGAUAAACCAAAUUGUGUUACCUGUUUAUAGACAUAGAUUUCUAUCAGCCAGACGUGUGCACAGCACAGCACAAACCAUAGCCACCCCCGUCGAAGUCUCUUUCUGUGCAUUUCCCAGCCACGCCCCCAGCUUGGGCCCCUGGGGUCACCUCCCACUCCGGCUAGAAAGAGAGAAGGAGACAGUGAAUUCCUCGGAAGCCGCUCGCCCUGCACCCAAGCGGGACUUGCACCACAAGCAGCCCCAGGAAAAAACUCUCCAUUUCUUUCUCGUGGAGGCUCCAGAAGAAAAGCUGCGCAUUUACCCGGCGCAUUCUAACCGCCUUUGAGGUUCCCUCCGGCAGCCAUGGGAGCCGUGGUGGGGCAAAGCCUGGGCUGGGAGACGCUGCAAGGCUCUGGGGAGCAGUGAGGCGCCGCGCCAGCUCCUCCGUUCCCGUCAUAGCCUCACACGGGCUUCGCUGGACACGUCCAGGACGCAGCGCCGGUGGGCACCAGGCGUUGAGCGCCUGCCCCGCGUCUGUGCUAAGACCUCCCUUUGCAUUAUUGCAUUUAUUCCAACGAUGGGGUGAGUGAAAGAUGCCCCGAGGUGCUGCAGAGUUAACUCGGAUCCAGGCCCUUCUGGGGGCCAAGCCGCCCGCACCGGGAGAGCUGCGUUUCUUUCUUCAGCGUCCUGCCCUCCGUGGCUGCAGGAUUUUCUUGGAAGGUGAAAGGCAGACAUUUUGGGAGCCACUAACAGACUUCCUGAACCUUCACUGAUGAGGAGUCAAACACUUCUGAGAGAGCGGCCGUGUGAUCCAAAAAGAGGAGCCAGGAUAAAGGAACAGAUGGAGGCAUGAGGCAGUGGGCGUAUGGCCUGAGAGUCCAUUUGCAGAAGCUGACCACAGUGAACAGAGUGGGAAUGCUGGACACUAACUCACUCAACUGAAGUGUGAGCCGGGGGCCCCGCGUGACCCAGAUGUCCAAACUGCAAACCUAGGAGAUCCUCUAGCGCACACCUCCUGUGACAAAGGAAUCCAGAAGCUUAAGGACUCUGCAGGAACUGUAGCUUCUGCCUGCUACAACAAAUCCCAGCAAGAGUUCGCUUAAAAACACAGAUUAGAAAUUAUGAAUAUGCACCCCACGGGCCUUGAUCUAAGAGGACAAUUCAAAUCUGACCCAGGUAAACAAAAGGCAGUGGCGAAGAAUCCAGCAGUAAAAGCAUUCCUAGGAAAAGACAGGCCAGAGUAGAACCUCCCCGUUCAAAGAUGGAUCCAACCCAGCAAGGAACGUGUAGAAUGUUCCUGAUCAGAAACAGAGGGGGGUGGGGACGGAGAGAGGGAGGGAGCAAGAGGGGGGAAGAGAAAGAGAAAGAGAAGGAAAGGGAAGGAGGGAGGAGAACAGAGGCUAUCAGUAUGACAUGACAAACACAGGAAUACAAAGUACUGUGGGAAAGAAGAGAUACUUUUAAAUAAUACAAACAUCAAGGCAUAAGAGACAGAGUACUAGAAAAGGGAACAUUAAACUAAUUUCAGACUUAUCCUCAGCAAUCACAAUUGCCUAAAACAAAGAAACAAGUGGAAAGAGGGACCGCAGCCUCAAAUCACACAGGCCGCCUGCAUGAUUUGUUGCAUUUACAUGAAAAUGCAACAAAGUGACCUGAUCAAAUACACAAAAACUUCGGUAUUAUAGCACUCAUGAAACCUUUUCAAACACCUUGAUUUGAAUAAUGAAGUCAAAUAAAACGAGUGAAAACAAAGAACUUCUACUUUUUUCUUCCUCUUCCUUUCUCCCUUUCUCUCCCUCUCUCUCUCUCUCUCUCUCUCUCUCUCUCUCUCUCUCUCUCUCUCUCUCUCUUUAAUAUUUAUUAGUUCAGGCUGGGUGCAGUAGCUCAUGACUGUAAUCCCAUCACUUUGGGAGGCUGAGGCAGGAGGGUCGCUUGAGGACAGUAGUUCAAGACUUGUCUGGGCAACACGGCAAGACCUCGUCUCUAAAAUAAUAAUUUAAAAAUGAAUUAGCUGGGCAUGGUGGUGGAUGCCUGUAGUCUCAGCUACUCAGGAGGCUGAGGAGAGAGGAUAGCUUGAGCCCAGGAGUUUGAGACUGCAGUUAGCUAUGAUCAUGCUACUGAACUCUAGCCUGGGUGACAGAGCAAGACCCUGG